GACAGAGGGGGCAAGCGUUGCUCGGAAUUACUGGGCGUAAAGGGCGCGUAGGCGGGAUGGCAAGUCGGUCGUGAAAUCCCUCGGCUCAACUGAGGUACGUCGAUCGAUACUGCCGUUCUUGAGGGUUGCAGAGGAGACUGGAAUUCCCGGUGUAGCGGUGAAAUGUGUAGAGAUCGGGAGGAACACCGGUGGCGAAGGCGGGUCUCUGGGCAGCUCCUGACGCUGAGGCGCGAAAGCGUGGGGAGCAAACGGG
rnacentral:rRNA from 1 species